rnacentral:sRNA from 1 species
UCAGUGAAUCAUCGAAUCUUUGAACGCAUAUUGCGCUCUCUGGUAUUCCGGAGAGCAUGCUUGUUUGAGUAUCAGUAAACACCUCAAAUCCCUCUACUUGUUGGAGGAAUUUGGACUUGAGCAAUCCCAACUUUUCGAAAGAGAAGGCGGGUUGCUUGAAAUGCAGGUGCAGCUAGAUUCUUUCUUCUGAGCUAUAAGCAUACUUAUUUAAUCCCGUCAAACGGAUUAUUACUUUUGCUGCAGCUAACAUAAAGGUUGAAGAGUCGCUAUGGCUGACUGAUGCAGGAUUUAACAUGUCGCGCAAGCGAUCUGUAAACUCGAUCUCAAAUCAAGCAAGACUACCCGCUGAACUUAA